GUUAUGUCAAAUCUACCAGCCAUCACCAUGGAGGAAGUGGCCCCCGUGAGUGUUAGCGAUGCAACUCUGCUGGCCCCGGAGGAGAUCAAGGAGAAAAAUAAAGCUGGAGAUAUAAAAACAGCUGCUGAGAAAACAGCUACAGACAAGAAACGAGAACGGAG